CAGUUUUGUGACCGACUGCAUCAGUGUAGUAGAAAUUUAAAAAUUGUGUCGAGGAACGAACGAAAACUAGCGCAAUCGAGAUUAUUAUAACAAUAUACAACUUACAUCUUUGUUCUCUUGUGCUUCGGCGGUUUUAAACGUUUUAUUGAUCCAAUCUUUAACGUCGAAAGUAUCCUCGGAAAACGCGGACACAUCCUGAAACCGUCGUUUUGAGGUUAGAAAUCAAUCGUUUCUGCGUUCGAAAAAUUCCUUCGACGUUCGCCGAAGUCAUGCAAAAACUCUCGGAAAAUUCUUCGACUCGUUUCGAGUCCUCUUUGCCGCGCAAAGACAGAAUCGACGAUCGUACGAAAUUUUCACGGAAAAGAUAAACUUGUCGAAGCUGCUGACAUUUCAACGCUGCUUACCAUAUCAAAAUUCCGUGUACGAGACGGACUGUCAGAUACUUUCUCGCCAAUGGAAAAAAAAACAAUGAGAUCCGAAUACACGAACGAUUCAGCGCGGUGAACAGUACCGAGUAACGAUCAGUUUCGAAAUCUAUUGCCCCGCUCGUUUUUGCUACUUUUUCUUUAGCGGCGCAUAGCGCAGAAGUGCUUCGCCGUUGGACCACUUUACUGCACACAAUUCCGAGUUGCUUCGUGGCUCGAGAGUUGGGGACCCGGAAGGACACGACGGUUCUUAUCGUUCACCGGAUUGCGACGGUUCAAACCGUUCCGAAAAUUCUCGUCCGACUCGCAUCGUUAAGUAUACACCGUACGUUGCUCAUGAUAAGUGUUCGCGGCUCGUAAUGGCCGGAUCGAUCGUGCGAAUCUUGUACACAAUUUAUUUCUCAACGACGAUCCGCGGGACUGGGCUACCGUCUGUUCCGUUCAGUCCGCGCGGAACGUAACGACGACCGCGGAGAACUCUCGAACGGCGUAUGAAUCUUGUGCGACGCGGUUUACGUGGUGUGCCUUGGCGAGGGAGAACUAAAGAGGAUCGUCGAAAACGAAUUUCGAGGACGCCUCGGGGUGGGUUCGUGGACGUUCGGCUCGGUUCAACCCCACGCGAUCAUCGGCCGUUUCUCGUGACACGAUCCACGUCCCUGGAUUCCAACGAACUGCCUACCAGGAGGUAGGCGGCAAUUCGAAAGGGGAAAAGGGAGAGAAAAUGGAGAACAGCAUGUUAUCGGCCGCUUCCGGGCCCUUCGUUACUCGCCACGCCCCCAAAACUGCGUUUGCGCGUCACGGUUCGCGCAACAGUUGGAACUUGGGAAUUUCGUCUCCGCGAAAUCAGCCUGGCUCGCGACGAAAAUAAGGAAACCUAGCCGAGCGGAACCGCGACGCAACUGUACUUUGCCCUUUUCCUUGCGAACGUUGAACGCGUCGUGCAAGGCUACCUACCUCCUGGGUUUUGCGUUACACCCGGUCGUAUACGUGCAGCACACAGGGACGCUCGCGCGAGCAUACGCUUGACGGCUAUGCGAUCCACGGGCUCGUAGGAAGGGCAAGAAGUGUCCUCGACCUUGAGACACGAACCAGCCAAUCCUAAGCCUUCGCUUGCCGGCUGUGGGCACGGGAUUGGCUACACAUGUUCUCCACGGUACCAACCGCUUCCGACUGUUUCCGGUUCGGACUUCUGCAAACCGAUUCGCCAGAGAGCAGACAUCUGUGCGGAUCAAACUUACGCGGACGACACCACCGUCACCGUCAAUACCGACGCCGACGCCGACGCCGACGCCGGAGUUCGCAGCCAACCGUGGGCCGCGUGACACUGGCCGCCGACGACUGAAAAAGUGAUUCACACGUCCGGGGGACUGCUGCGCGAGAGAGCUGCCCGAGCCGUUGAUUCAUCGUCAUCGCCGUUUGUCUUCGCGGGAAACGAGCGGUGGGGAGAGGCGUGCACACUCACGGUGCACCACUGAC